rnacentral:rRNA from 1 species
UACGUAGGUGGCAAGCGUUGUCCGGACUUAUUGGGCGUAAAGCGCGCGCAGGCGGUCCUUUAAGUCUGAUGUGAAAGCCCACGGCUCAACCGUGGAGGGUCAUUGGAAACUGGGGGACUUGAGUACAGAAGAGAAGAGUGGAAUUCCACGUGUAGUGGUGAAAUGCGUAGAGAUCCGGAGGAACCCCAGAGGCGAAGGCGGCGCCCUGGCUCGCAACUGACGCUCAGACACGACAGCAUGGGGAGCGAACGGG